CGGGAAUUUUGGGCAAUGGGCGAAAGCCUGACCCAGCAACGCCGCGUGAGGGAUGAAGUAUUUCGGUAUGUAAACCUCGAAAGAAUGGGAAGAAUAAAUGACGGUACCAUUUAUAAGCUCCGGCUAACUACGUGCCAGCAGCCGCGGUAAUACGUAGGGAGCAAGCGUUGUUCGGAUUUACUGGGCGUAAAGGGCGCGUAGGCGGCGCGGUAAGUCACUUGUGAAAUCUCUGAGCUUAACUCAGAACGGCCAAGUGAUACUGCUGUGCUAGAGUGCGGAAGGGGCAACCGGAAUUCUUGGUGUAGCGGUGAAAUGCGUAGAUAUCAAGAGGAACACCUGAGGCGAAGGCGGGUUGCUGGGCCGACACUGACGCUGAUGCGCGAAAGCCAGGGGAGCAAACG
rnacentral:rRNA from 1 species